UCUCGUGUGGUGCAGAGGUUAGCAUAACUGCCUUUCACGCAGUCGACCCGGGUUCGAACCCCGGCGCGAGAA